AACGAACGCUGGCGGCAGGCUUAACACAUGCAAGUCGAGCGCCCCGCAAGGGGAGCGGCAGACGGGUGAGUAACGCGUGGGAAUCUACCCAUCUCUACGGAAUAACGCAUGGAAACGUGUGCUAAUACCGUAUACGUCCUUCGGGAGAAAGAUUUAUCGGAGAUGGAUGAGCCCGCGUUGGAUUAGCUAGUUGGAGGGGUAAAGGCCUACGAAGGCGACGAUCCAUAGCUGGUCUGAGAGGAUGAUCAGUCACACUGGGACUGAGACACGGCCCAGACUCCUACGGGAGGCAGCAGUGGGGAAUAUUGGACAAUGGGCGCAAGCCUGAUCCAGCCAUGCCGCGUGAGUGAUGAUGGCCCUAGGGUUGUAAAGCUCUUUCACCGGUGAAGAUAAUGACAGUAACCGGAGAAGAAGCCCCGGCUAACUACGUGCCAGCAGCCGCGGUAAAAC
rnacentral:rRNA from 1 species